rnacentral:lncRNA from 1 species
AUGGGCAUCUCUAGGGACAACUGGCACAUGCACUGCAAUAUCAGGGGUAAGAGAAAACCAUUCCACAAGAAGUGGAAGUAUGAGCUCUAAUGGCCUGCUGCCAACACUAAAAUUGGCCUUCAUAGUAUACACACAGUAUGAGUUUGAGGAGGCAAUAAAAAGUACUAUGUCCUGAGAUUGGGUGUAGGAAACUUUUCCUGGUGCUCUGAGUGUUGUACUCGGAAAACAAGGAUCAUUGAUGUUGUCUAUAAUCCAUCCAGUACUUAGCUUGUCUGCAUCAAGACCCUGGUGAAGAAAUGCAUUGUGCUUAUUGACAGUACACUGUACCAGCAGUGAUAUGAGUCCCACUAUGCAAUGCCCCUGGGCUGCAAAAAGGGGGCCAAGUGAACUCUUGAGGAGGAAGAGCCUUUAAACAAAAAACCAUCAAAGAAGAUUUUAAAAAAUUCGAUGAAAGGAAAAAGAAUGCCAACAUCAGCACUCUUCUGCAGGAGUAGUUCCAGCAGGGCAAGCUUCUUGCCUAUAUUGCUUCAAACCAGGCCAGUGUGGCAGAGCAGACACUUAUGUGCUUGAAGGCAAGGAGCUGGAGUUCUAUCUUUGGAAGACAAAACCCGGGAAAGGCAAAUAAGCCAUCCUUCAUAGCUCAUGUAAUAAGGGUGUUUGUUGU